AUGAUAGAGUCUCCAAGUGAGGAAGAAUGGGAGAAGGCAAAAGCUAUUUGUGAGUUUCUAAAAGCUUUUGAAGAGCUUGCAUUGAUUGUUUCAGCUCACAGGAAGCCAACUUCACAUAAGUUUCUGCCAGUUGUGCUUUCUAUUUGCCAUGCAUUGAAAGAUCCGGGUUGUCAGACCUCUGAUGUGUUGAAGGAAUUGGCGGCAGUGAUGCAAACGAAGCUCGAUAAAUAUUGGGAUCCCGAGGAGAAGGAGAAUGCAGAUCCUAACCAUCGUAGAAAAAGCAAGGGCAAUGAGUUUAACCAUGCACUUGUCAUUGCUACAUUCCUGGAUCCAAGGAGGAAAGAAGAUUAA
rnacentral:rRNA from 1 species